ACACAGCAGAAAGCACAACCACCAUGAAUCUCAUCACCAUCCUCAUCUGGACGCUGGCCUGCUGCUGUUUUACAGGAUGCAGCGGUCAGGUGACUGUGACUCAGCCUCCAGUAGUGACAUCUACUCCAGGAUCCACUGUCACUCUCAGCUGUAAAACCAGCCAAGCUGUUUACAGAUGGUCUGAUGGCGAUGAGGGAAUGUUCUGGUAUCAACAGAAAUCUGGACAGCCUCCAAAGCUCCUAAUAAAAUAUGCGAAAAAACUUCCAUCGGGCAUUCCAGCUCGGUUUAGUGGCAGUGGAAGCAGCUCUGACUUCACUUUGACCAUCAGUGGAGUUCUGACUGAAGAUGCAGCAGUGUAUUACUGUCUGGGCUUCCAUGGUAGUGGAGUGUUCACACAGUGA